rnacentral:rRNA from 1 species
AUUGAACGCUGGCGGCAGGCCUAACACAUGCAAGUCGAACGGUAACAGGAGGCAGCUUGCUGCUUUGCUGACGAGUGGGGGACGGGUGAGUAAUGUCUGGGAAACUGCCUGAUGGAGGGGGAUAACUACUGGAAACGGUAGCUAAUACCGCAUAACGUCGCAAGACCAAAGAGGGGGACCUUCGGGCCUCUUGCCAUCGGAUGUGCCCAGAUGGGAUUAGCUAGUAGGUGGGGUAACGGCUCACCUAGGCGACGAUCCCUAGCUGGUCUGAGAGGAUGACCAGCCACACUGGAACUGAGACACGGUCCAGACUCCUACGGGAGGCAGCAGUGGGGAAUAUUGCACAAUGGGCGCAAGCCUGAUGCAGCCAUGCCGCGUGUAUGAAGAAGGCCUUCGGGUUGUAAAGUACUUUCAGCGGGGAGGAAGGGAGUAAAGUUAAUACCUUUGCUCAUUGACGUUACCCGCAGAAGAAGCACCGGCUAACUCCGUG